GACGAACGCUGGCGGCGUGCUUAGCACAUGCAAGUCGAACGGAAAGGCCCUGCUUUUGUGGGGUGCUCGAGUGGCGAACGGGUGAGUAACACGUGAGUAACCUGCCCCUGACUUUGGGAUAACUUCAGGAAACUGGGGCUAAUACCGGAUAGGAGCUCCUGCUGCAUGGUGGGGGUUGGAAAGUUUCGGCGGUUGGGGAUGGACUCGCGGCUUAUCAGCUUGUUGGUGGGGUAGUGGCUUACCAAGGCUUUGACGGGUAGCCGGCCUGAGAGGGUGACCGGCCACAUUGGGACUGAGAUACGGCCCAGACUCCUACGGGAGGCAGCAGUGGGGAAUAUUGCACAAUGGGCGGAAGCCUGAUGCAGCAACGCCGCGUGCGGGAUGACGGCCUUCGGGUUGUAAACCGCUUUCGCCUGUGACGAAGCGUGAGUGACGGUAAUGGGUAAAGAAGCACCGGCUAACUACGUG
rnacentral:rRNA from 1 species